CUGCAGCCCGAGUGGUGAUCGAUUUUAUUGAGCCUAAAGCGUCCGUAGCCGGACUAGUAAACCCUUGGGUAAAUUGGGCAGCUUAACUGUCCAAAUUCCGAGGGGACUGCUAGUCUUGGGACCGGGAGAGGUCAGAGGUACUCAAGGGGUAGGGGCUAAAUCCUGUAAUCCUUUGGGGACCACCAGUGGCGAAGGCGUCUGACUAGAGCGGAUCCGACGGUAAGGGACGAAACCCUGGGGCGCGAACCGGAUUAGAUACCCGAGUAGUCC
rnacentral:rRNA from 1 species